rnacentral:rRNA from 1 species
UACAGAGGGUGCAAGCGUUGUUCGGAAUUAUUGGGCGUAAAGCGCGUGUAGGCGGCUUUGCAAGUCGGGUGUGAAAGCCCUCAGCUCAACUGAGGAAGUGCGCCCGAAACUGCGGAGCUUGAGUACCGGAGAGGGUGGCGGAAUUCCCGGUGUAGAGGUGAAAUUCGUAGAUAUCGGGAGGAACACCAGUGGCGAAGGCGGCCGACCUGGGCUGAUACUGACGCUGAGGUGCGAAAGCGUGGGGAGCAAACAGGGAGU